GAUGAACGCUGGCGGCGUGCCUAAUACAUGCAAGUCGAGCGAACGGACGAGAAGCUUGCUUCUCUGAUGUUAGCGGCGGACGGGUGAGUAACACGUGGAUAACCUACCUAUAAGACUGGGAUAACUUCGGGAAACCGGAGCUAAUACCGGAUGAUAUUUUGAACCGCAUGGUUCAAAAGUGAAAGACGGUCUUUCUGUCACUUAUAGAUGGAUCCGCGCUGCAUUAGCUAGUUGGUAAGGUAACGGCUUACCAAGGCAACGAUGCAUAGCCGACCUGAGAGGGUGAUCGGCCACACUGGAACUGAGACACGGUCCAGACUCCUACGGGAGGAAGCAGUAGGGAAUCUUACGCAAUGCGCGAAAGCCUGACGGAGCACCGCCGCGUGAGUGAUGAAGGUCUUCGGAUCGUAAAACUCUGUUAUUAGGGAAGAACAUAUGUGUAAGUAACUGUGCACAUCUUGACGGUACCUAAUCAGAAAGCCACGGCUAACUCCGUG
rnacentral:rRNA from 1 species